rnacentral:misc_RNA from 1 species
AGCGGGUAAUCCCGCCUGACCUGGGGUCGCGUCGAGAGCAUCGUCUUUGUGGACGACGUUCAGAGGGUCGACAUGGGAGUCCUCGCUUGCUCGCUCGCUCGCUGGGAGGAGGUGCGCGGGCUGAGGUCGCGACGCGGUACCGAGGUUGGAUCAACCACCGUAGUGUCGCGACGCCGGCGCCGGGGACUCGAAUUUAAGCCAUCCGCGCGACGGUGCGCACGGGAGGCCAGCGUGUGCCCCCGCCUGCGCAACGAACCCGAGUGGGGGUUGCGUGGGGGGGGUUCCGCCCCCCGCGCGCCGAGACCGGGGCAAGGGGCGGGCGAAUUCGUUUUAGUUCCUUGGCGCGACCUGCGCCGGGGUUUGGUUUAGGCACCGAGGAGGGGCACGAGUGCUCCCCCCCGGCACGGAAGGUUUGUAAACGCGUUCGCGGGUCGUUUGAUGUUUAGGCAUCGACAAUGAUCCUUCCGCAGGUUCACCUACGGAAACCUUGUUACGACUUCUCCUUCCUCUAAAUGAUAAGGUUCAGUGGACUUCUCGCGACGUCGCGGGCAGCG